rnacentral:rRNA from 1 species
CUACGGGUGGCUGCAGUGAGGAAUUUUGCGCAAUGGGCGAAAGCCUGACGCAGCAACGCCGCGUGAGUGAUGAAGGCCUUCGGGUCGUAAAGCUCUGUCAAGUGGGAAGAACCUAUGUAAUGUUAAUAUCAUUAUAUACUGACGGUACCACUGAAGGAAGCACCGGCUAACUCCGUGCCAGCAGCCGCGGUAAUACGGGGGGUGCAAGCGUUAUUCGGAAUCAUUAGGCGUAAAGGGCACGUAGGCGGCCUGGUAAGUCAGAUGUGAAAGCCCGGGGCUUAACCCCGGAAGUGCAUUUGAUACUGUCAGGCUUGAGUAUGGGAGAGGGAAGUGGAAUUCCUGGUGUAGAGGUGAAAUUCGUAGAUAUCAGGAGGAACGCCGGUGGCGAAGGCGACUUCCUGGACCAAUACUGACGCUGAGGUGCGAAGGCGUGGGUAGCAAACAGGAUUAGAUACCCGCGUAGUC